rnacentral:rRNA from 1 species
GACGAACGCCGGCGGCGUGCCUAAUACAUGCAAGUAGAACGCUGAAGGAGGAGCUUGCUUCUCUGGAUGAGUUGCGAACGGGUGAGUAACGCGUAGGUAACCUGCCUGGUAGCGGGGGAUAACUAUUGGAAACGAUAGCUAAUACCGCAUAAUAGCAGUUGUUGCAUGACAACUGUUUGAAAGGUGCAAUUGCACCACUACCAGAUGGACCUGCGUUGUAUUAGCUAGUUGGUGGGGUAACGGCUCACCAAGGCGACGAUACAUAGCCGACCUGAGAGGGUGGUCGGCCACACUGGGACUGAGACACGGCCCAGACUCCUACGGGAGGCAGCAGUAGGGAAUCUUCGGCAAUGGACGGAAGUCUGACCGAGCAACGCCGCGUGAGUGAAGAAGGUUUUCGGAUCGUAAAGCUCUGUUGUAAGAGAAGAACGAGUGUGAGAGUGGAAAGUUCACACUGUGACGGUAUCUUACCAGAAAGGGACGGCUAACUACGU